GGGUUGUGAGGUUAAGCGACUAAGCGUACACGGUGGAUGCCCUGGCAGUCAGAGGCGAUGAAGGACGUGCUAAUCUGCGAUAAGCGUCGGUAAGGUGAUAUGAACCGUUAUAACCGGCGAUUUCCGAAUGGGGAAACCCAGUGUGAUUCGUCACACUAUCAUUAACUGAAUCCAUAGGUUAAUGAGGCGAACCGGGGGAACUGAAACAUCUAAGUACCCCGAGGAAAAGAAAUCAACCGAGAUUCCCCCAGUAGCGGCGAGCGAACGGGGAGCAGCCCAGAGCCUGAAUCAGUGUGUGUGUUAGUGGAAGCGUCUGGAAAGGCGCGCGAUACAGGGUGACAGCCCCGUACACAAAAAUGCACAUGCUGUGAGCUCGAUGAGUAGGGCGGGACACGUGGUAUCCUGUCUGAAUAUGGGGGGACCAUCCUCCAAGGCUAAAUACUCCUGACUGACCGAUAGUGAACCAGUACCGUGAGGGAAAGGCGAAAAGAACCCCGGCGAGGGGAGUGAAAAAGAACCUGAAACCGUGUACGUACAAGCAGUGGGAGCCUCUUUAUGGGGUGACUGCGUACCUUUUGUAUAAUGGGUCAGCGACUUAUAUUCUGUAGCAAGGUUAACCGAAUAGGGGAGCCGAAGGGAAACCGAGUCUUAACUGGGCGUUAAGUUGCAGGGUAUAGACCCGAAACCCGGUGAUCUAGCCAUGGGCAGGUUGAAGGUUGGGUAACACUAACUGGAGGACCGAACCGACUAAUGUUGAAAAAUUAGCGGAUGACUUGUGGCUGGGGGUGAAAGGCCAAUCAAACCGGGAGAUAGCUGGUUCUCCCCGAAAGCUAUUUAGGUAGCGCCUCGUGAAUUCAUCUCCGGGGGUAGAGCACUGUUUCGGCAAGGGGGUCAUCCCGACUUACCAACCCGAUGCAAACUGCGAAUACCGGAGAAUGUUAUCACGGGAGACACACGGCGGGUGCUAACGUCCGUCGUGAAGAGGGAAACAACCCAGACCGCCAGCUAAGGUCCCAAAGUCAUGGUUAAGUGGGAAACGAUGUGGGAAGGCCCAGACAGCCAGGAUGUUGGCUUAGAAGCAGCCAUCAUUUAAAGAAAGCGUAAUAGCUCACUGGUCGAGUCGGCCUGCGCGGAAGAUGUAACGGGGCUAAACCAUGCACCGAAGCUGCGGCAGCGACACUAUGUGUUGUUGGGUAGGGGAGCGUUCUGUAAGCCUGUGAAGGUGUACUGUGAGGUAUGCUGGAGGUAUCAGAAGUGCGAAUGCUGACAUAAGUAACGAUAAAGCGGGUGAAAAGCCCGCUCGCCGGAAGACCAAGGGUUCCUGUCCAACGUUAAUCGGGGCAGGGUGAGUCGACCCCUAAGGCGAGGCCGAAAGGCGUAGUCGAUGGGAAACAGGUUAAUAUUCCUGUACUUGGUGUUACUGCGAAGGGGGGACGGAGAAGGCUAUGUUGGCCGGGCGACGGUUGUCCCGGUUUAAGCGUGUAGGCUGGUUUUCCAGGCAAAUCCGGAAAAUCAAGGCUGAGGCGUGAUGACGAGGCACUACGGUGCUGAAGCAACAAAUGCCCUGCUUCCAGGAAAAGCCUCUAAGCAUCAGGUAACAUCAAAUCGUACCCCAAACCGACACAGGUGGUCAGGUAGAGAAUACCAAGGCGCUUGAGAGAACUCGGGUGAAGGAACUAGGCAAAAUGGUGCCGUAACUUCGGGAGAAGGCACGCUGAUAUGUAGGUGAAGCGACUUGCUCGUGGAGCUGAAAUCAGUCGAAGAUACCAGCUGGCUGCAACUGUUUAUUAAAAACACAGCACUGUGCAAACACGAAAGUGGACGUAUACGGUGUGACGCCUGCCCGGUGCCGGAAGGUUAAUUGAUGGGGUUAGCGGUAACGCGAAGCUCUUGAUCGAAGCCCCGGUAAACGGCGGCCGUAACUAUAACGGUCCUAAGGUAGCGAAAUUCCUUGUCGGGUAAGUUCCGACCUGCACGAAUGGCGUAAUGAUGGCCAGGCUGUCUCCACCCGAGACUCAGUGAAAUUGAACUCGCUGUGAAGAUGCAGUGUACCCGCGGCAAGACGGAAAGACCCCGUGAACCUUUACUAUAGCUUGACACUGAACAUUGAGCCUUGAUGUGUAGGAUAGGUGGGAGGCUUUGAAGUGUGGACGCCAGUCUGCAUGGAGCCGACCUUGAAAUACCACCCUUUAAUGUUUGAUGUUCUAACGUUGGCCCCUGAUCGGGGUUGCGGACAGUGUCUGGUGGGUAGUUUGACUGGGGCGGUCUCCUCCUAAAGAGUAACGGAGGAGCACGAAGGUUGGCUAAUCCUGGUCGGACAUCAGGAGGUUAGUGCAAUGGCAUAAGCCAGCUUGACUGCGAGCGUGACGGCGCGAGCAGGUGCGAAAGCAGGUCAUAGUGAUCCGGUGGUUCUGAAUGGAAGGGCCAUCGCUCAACGGAUAAAAGGUACUCCGGGGAUAACAGGCUGAUACCGCCCAAGAGUUCAUAUCGACGGCGGUGUUUGGCACCUCGAUGUCGGCUCAUCACAUCCUGGGGCUGAAGUAGGUCCCAAGGGUAUGGCUGUUCGCCAUUUAAAGUGGUACGCGAGCUGGGUUUAGAACGUCGUGAGACAGUUCGGUCCCUAUCUGCCGUGGGCGCUGGAGAACUGAGGGGGGCUGCUCCUAGUACGAGAGGACCGGAGUGGACGCAUCACUGGUGUUCGGGUUGUCAUGCCAAUGGCACUGCCCGGUAGCUAAAUGCGGAAGAGAUAAGUGCUGAAAGCAUCUAAGCACGAAACUUGCCCCGAGAUGAGUUCUCCCUGACUCCCUGAGAGUCCUGAAGGAACGUUGAAGACGACGACGUUGAUAGGCCGGGUGUGUAAGCGCAGCGAUGCGUUGAGCUAACCGGUACUAAUGAACCGUGAGGCUUAACCUUACAACGCCGAAGGUGUUU
rnacentral:rRNA from 1 species